rnacentral:ncRNA from 1 species
AAAGGACCGGCGUCCAAAUAAUGCCUCGCGCUAUUCCCUGUACGUCAAGCUGUGACCUCGGCAAUUACCGGGGUAGCCUCGGAGCCUUUGGCGCACCGUUAGUACGUGCACGGAAAGCGGGCGUU